rnacentral:rRNA from 1 species
AGAGUUUGAUCCCUGGCUCAGAUUAAACGCUGGCGGAAUGCUUUACACAUGCAAGUCGAACGGCAGCACGGGAGCUUGCUCCUGGUGGCGAGUGGCGGACGGGUGAGUAAUAUAUCGGAACGUGUCCAUUAAUGGGGGAUAACUAGUCGAAAGAUUAGCUAAUACCGCAUACGCCCUGAGGGGGAAAGCUAGGGAUCUUCGGACCUGGCGUUAAUGGAGCGGCCGAUAGCUGAUUAGGUAGUUGGUGGGGUAAAGGCCUAUCAAGCCUGCGAUCAGUAGCUGGUCUGAGAGGACGACCAGCCACACUGGGACUGAGACACGGCCCAGACUCCUACGGGAGGCAGCAGUGGGGAAUUUUGGACAAUGGGGGCAACCCUGAUCCAGCCAUUCCGCGUGAGUGAAGAAGGCCUUCGGGUUGUAAAGCUCUUUCGCAAGGGAAGAAAACUUAUCCUCUAACAUAGGGUGAGGCUGACGGUACCUUGACAAGAAGCACCGGCUAACUACGUGCCAGCAGCCGCGGUAAUACGUAGGGUGCGAGCGUUAAUCGGAAUUACUGGGCGUAAAGCGUGCGCAGGCGGCCUUAAAAGUCAGAUGUGAAAUCCCCGAGCUCAACUUGGGAACUGCGUUUGAAACUCUAAGGCUAGAAUAUGUCAGAGGGGGGUAGAAUUCCACGUGUAGCAGUGAAAUGCGUAGAGAUGUGGAGGAAUACCAAUGGCGAAGGCAGCCCCCUGGGAUAAUAUUGACGCUCAUGCACGAAAAGCGUGGGGAGCAAAACAGGAUUAGAUACCUUGGUAGUCCCACGCCCCUAAAACGAAUGUCUACUAAUUGUUGGGUGAAGUAAAAUCCCAUGAGUAACCGCAGCCUAAGGCGUGAAAUUAGACCCGCCCUGGGGAGUACGGUCCGCAAGAUUUAAAACUCAAAUUGAAUUGACCGGGGGGCCCGCCCCAAGCGGUGGGAUUUAUGUGGAUUAAUUUCGAUGCAACGCGAAAACCUUACCUGCCCUUGACAUGCCACUAACGAAGCAGAGAUGCAUUAGGUGCUCGAAAGAGAAAGUGGACACAGGUGCUGCAUGGCUGUCGUCAGCUCGUGUUGUGAGAUGUUGGGUUAAGUCCCGCAACGAGCGCAACCCUUGCCAAUAAUUGCCAUCAUUUAGUUCGGCACUUUAUUGGGACUGCCGGUGACAAACCGGAGGAAGGUGGGGAUGACGUCAAGUCCUCAUGGCCCUUAUGGCCAGGGCUUCACACGUAAUACAACGGUCGGUACAGAGGGUAGCCAAGCCGUAAGGUGGAGCCAAUCUCAGAAAGCCGAUCGUAGUCCGGAUUGAGGUCUGCAACUCGACCUCAUGAAGUCGGAAUCGCUAGUAAUCGCGGAUCAGCAUGUCGCGGUGAAUACGUUCCCGGGCCUUGUACACACCGCCCGUCACACCAUGGGAGUGGGUUUUACCAGAAGUAGGUAGUCUAACCGCAAGGGGGACGCUUACCACGGUAGUAUUCAAGGAGGGGGUGAAGUGGUAACAAGGUAACCGUA